GUGGGACAUCAGUAAGGCCUGUGGAUACACUUCCCUCAAGGAACUGAUCAAUGAGAACUCUGACUACCUGCUUAAUGACAUAUCACUCAACCUUCAGAGACUCAGCCAGCAUCCACAGGCUCCACGGGUGUUGACAGUUAUGUUGACUCACUCUGACUGCAGUCUGCUGCCGCUGGUCGGGGACAUCGUUCAGGAUGUGCUGACGGCUCUGGAUCUCAGCUACGAGCGCACAGCUGCUCUUUUCUGCUCCGUGCUGCACGCGCUCAUGAAGGCACUGGCGAGGUGGUUUCCUUCCACUUGUAGCAGGACCAGUACGUCUGCCAGCUCCAGGCAGAGCUCCA